UUGAAAGGGAAACGAUUGAAGUCAGUCGUACCAGCGGGAAUCAACCUUUCGAGUGGUGUUUUGGAGUUUUGAAGUGUGUCAAAACCUUUGAGAUUUUAAAAUUUUCGCUCUUUUGGUGUACUUUCUCGUGGGUAGGUUAACAUCGAUUUUGAUCAUCAUAAAAAGACUGGAGGAAUGUAGCUUCGAUCUUGUAUUGAAGUGUUAUAGCCUUUGGUAAAUGUGAUGAUUAGGAUCGAGGAUUGCAACGAAUACCCUUCUGGGCUAUCCGCCUGAUCUCUGAUACGUGGCCUUGGCAUCGAAAGCUUGCUUAUGGUAUCAAGGUAUUACGGUCAAAAGGUUAGAACGGAUUACAUUCGUUAAGGAUGUUGACGUA
rnacentral:rRNA from 1 species